rnacentral:rRNA from 1 species
UGGGGAAUAUUGCACAAUGGGCGAAAGCCUGAUGCAGCAACGCCGCGUGAGUGAUGAAGGCCUUCGGGUUGUAAAGCUCUGUCUUUUGGGACGAUAAUGACGGUACCAAAGGAGGAAGCCACGGCUAACUACGUGCCAGCAGCCGCGGUAAUACGUAGGUGGCAAGCGUUGUCCGGAUUUACUGGGCGUAAAGGAUGCGUAGGCGGAUUUUUAAGUGAGAUGUGAAAACCCUAAGCUUAACUUGGGGACUGCAUUUCAUACUGGAAAUCUAGAGUGCGGGAGAGGAGAAUGGAAUUCCUAGUGUAGCGGUGAAAUGCGUAGAGAUUAGGAAGAACACCAGUGGCGAAGGCGAUUCUCUGGACCGUAACUGACGCUGAGGCAUGAAAGCGUGGGUAGCAAACAGGAUUAGAUACCCUGGUAGUCCACGCCGUAAACGAUGAGUACUAGGUGUAGGAGGUAUCGACCCCUUCUGUGUCGCAGUUAACACAAUAAGUACUCCGCCUGGGAAGUACGAUCGCAAGAUUAAAACUCAAAUGAAUUGAC